rnacentral:rRNA from 1 species
CCACACGACCGUACCGCAAACCGACACUGGUGCGCGAGAUGAGUAUUCUAAGGCGCUUGAGAGAACUCAGGAGAAGGAACUCGGCAAAUUGACACCGUAACUUCGGAAGAAGGUGUGCCUUUAGUAGGUGAACCUGUACAAGGGGAGCCCAAUGAGGUUGCAAAAAAUCGGUGGCUGCGACUGUUUAAUAAAAACACAGCACUCUGCAAACACGAAAGUGGACGUAUAGGGUGUGACGCCUGCCCGGUGCUGGAAGAUUAAAUGAUGGGGUGCAAGCUCUUGAUUGAAGUCCCAGUAAACGGCGGCCGUAACGAUAACGGUCCUAAGGUAGCGAAAUUCCUUGUCGGGUAAGUUCCGACCUGCACGAAUGGCGUAACGAUGGCCACACUGUCUCCUCCUGAGACUCAGCGAAGUUGAAAUGUUUGUGAUGAUGCAAUCUCCCCGCGGAAAGACGGAAAGACCCCAUGAACCUUUACUGUAGCUUUGUAUUGGACUUUGAACAGAUCUGUGUAGGAUAGGUGGGAGGCUUUGAAGUGUGGUCGCUAGAUCGCAUGGAGCCAACGUUGAAAUACCACCCUGGUGUGUUUGAGGUUCUAACCUAGGCCCGUAAUCCGGGUCGGGGGCAGUGCAUGGUAGGCAGUUUGACUGGGGCGGUCUCCUCCCAAAGCGUAACGGAGGAGUUCGAAGGUACGCUAGGUACGGUCGGACAUCGUGCUAAUAGUGCAAUGGCAUAAGCGUGCUUAACUGCGAGACUGACAAGUCGAGCAGAUGCGAAAGCAGGACAUAGUGAUCCGGUGGUUCUGUAUGGAAGGGCCAUCGCUCAACGGAUAAAAGGUACUCUGGGGAUAACAGGCUGAUACCGCCCAAGAGUUCAUAUCGACGGCGGUGUUUGGCACCUCGAUGUCGGCUCAUCUCAUCCUGGGGCUGUAGCCGGUCCCAAGGGUAUGGCUGUUCGCCAUUUAAAGAGGUACGUGAGCUGGGUUUAAAACGUCGUGAGACAGUUUGGUCCCUAUCUUCCGUGGGCGCUGCAGAUUUGAGGAAGCCUGCUCCUAGUACGAGAGGACCGGAGUGGACACACCUCUGGUGUAUCGGUUGUCACGCCAGUGGCAUUGCCGAGUAGCUAUGUGUGGAAGAGAUAACCGCUGAAAGCAUCUAAGCGGGAAACUCGUUUCAAGAUGAGAUCUGCCGGGGCCUUGAGCCCCCUAAAGAGUCGUUCAAGACCAGGACGUUGAUAGGUCGGGUGUGGAAGCGCAGUAAUGCGUUAAGCUAACCGAUACUAAUUGCUCGUGCGGCUUGAUCAA